AGUGAACGCUGGCGGUAGGCCUAACACAUGCAAGUCGAACGGCAGCACAGUAAGAGCUUGCUCUUACGGGUGGCGAGUGGCGGACGGGUGAGGAAUACAUCGGAAUCUACUUUUUCGUGGGGGAUAACGUAGGGAAACUUACGCUAAUACCGCAUACGACCUACGGGUGAAAGCAGGGGAUCUUCGGACCUUGCGCGAUUGAAUGAGCCGCUGUCGGAUUAGCUAGUUGGCGGGGUAAAGGCCCACCAAGGCGACGAUCCGUAGCUGGUCUGAGAGGAUGAUCAGCCACAGAGGAACUGAGACACGGUCCAGACUCCGACGGGAGGCAGCAGUGGGGAAUAUUGGACAAUGGGCGCAAGCCUGAUCCAGCCAUACCGCGUGGGUGAAGAAGGCCUUCGGGUUGUAAAGCCCUUUUGUUGGGAAAGAAAAGCAGCAGGUUAAUACCCCGCUGUUCUGACGGUACCCAAAGAAUAAGCACCGGCUAACUUCGU
rnacentral:rRNA from 1 species